UCGAGGAUCAUUCGCAAUGGGCGCAAGCCUGACGGUGCGACGCUGCGUGGAGGAUGAAGGCCUUCGGGUCGUAAACUCCUGUCGUGUGGGAACAAUAGACCGGCCGCUAACACCGGCUGGUAUUGAUAGUACCGCAAGAGGAAGCCACGGCUAACUCUGUGCCAGCAGCCGCGGUAAUACAGAGGUGGCAAGCGUUGUUCGGAUUUACUGGGCGUAAAGGGUGCGUAGGUGGCUUUGUGUGUCGGGCGUGAAAUCCCACCGCUCAACGGUGGAACGGCGCCCGAAACUGCAAGGCUUGAGUGCAGGAGAGGAGAGCGGAAUUCUUGGUGUAGCGGUGGAAUGCGUUGAUAUCAAGAAGAACACCAGUGGCGUAGGCGGCUCUCUGGAAUGCAACUGACACUGAGGCACGAAAGCGUGGGGAGCAAACAGG
rnacentral:rRNA from 1 species